rnacentral:rRNA from 1 species
AUGCAAGUCGAGCGGUAACACUUCGGGUGACGAGCGGCGGACGGGUGAGUAAUGCAUGGGAACGUGCCCCAAAGUGAGGAAUAAGCACCAGAAAUGGUGUCUAAUACCGCAUAUUAUCUUAGGAUCAAAGCUUCGGCGCUUUGGGAGCGGCCCAUGUCUGAUUAGCUAGUUGGUAGGGUAAAAGCCUACCAAGGCGACGAUCAGUAGCUGGUUUGAGAGGAUGAUCAGCCACACUGGAACUGAGACACGGUCCAGACUCC